rnacentral:rRNA from 1 species
UGCCAGCCGCCGCGGUAAUACGGAGGGUGCAAGCGUUGUCCGGAUUUAUUGGGUUUAAAGGGUGCGCAGGCGGCAUGUUAAGUCAGGGGUUAAAGGCAGCGGCUCAACCGUUGUAGGGCCUUUGAUACUGGCAAGCUUGAGUAUACUUGAGGAAGUUGGAAUGCGUGGUGUAGCGGUGAAAUGCAUAGAUAUCACGCAGAACGCCGAUUGCGAAGGCAGAUUUCUAAACUGUUACUGACGCUGAGGCACGAAAGCGUGGGGAGCGAACAGGAUUAGAUA